AAUUGUAUAGUUUAAUAAAAAUUUUAAAUUGCAAGUUUAAAGAUAAGAAAUGCUUUACAAUUU
rnacentral:tRNA from 1 species